GCCUCAGUAGCGCAGUAGGUAGCGCGUCAGUCUCAUAAUCUGAAGGUCGUGAGUUCGAUUCUCACCUGGGGCA
rnacentral:tRNA from 1 species